UGCUCGGUUUGAGCUAUUGUACAUUUGUUAAGAAGACAGUCAUUGUGUUUGCGACUUGAGUGUGACUCGAGUCCUAGUCGCAAAUGCAAGUCCCGAUCUCUGAUAUGUAAACAUAAGUGUGUUGUUUGGGAUUGCAACUUUGACAAUUAUUAUUUUCUGAUUGGUUAAUGCCUGUACACACAUGCAAUGCAGGUAACAACACGCAAUGAUCAGAUAGCUGAGAGUAAGGAUUCAAUUAAUAUGUAUCACUAUAUGAUGGUAUAUUAUGUAGAAUAUAUAUUUUAAUAUUUUCGUAUUGCUAUACCAAUACAUGGUAAACUCAACACAUUUGCACACGUGCUGAGGGCCUGGACAAACACAGGCACUAUAUUGUGAAUAAGCCAUCUAUCCCAGAGAUACGGCCUAUAUUUGCCUUGCUAUUGCUCACACUAAGUGCUAGGGAUCUCCCUAGGGGGCGGGUCCAACGACAGAAGCAAACGCCUGUUAAACAUGUGUGGUAGAUAAAGAAGCCCUUGAGCGGUGUGAAUACACCUGCAUGUUGUUUGCGUCCUCUCCAAGGCACUACAGGCUGGCCAAAUACCAUCUGAACACAAAGCUAUUGUCAAACACUAUUGGCACACACACUCAUAAAUAGGCAAUCAGACAUACAAUCCACAAGGGUGUAUGAUAGGUAUCACCGUAGAGCCCACAGAAGAGGUGUCCAUACAAGACGGGAUUUGGAAAAGUGGAACCGAUAGGCGAAUCUGUGGGUGGUGUUUAAUGUGACUGAGCCCUCUUAAUUUGCAAGAUUGGCAAAAAGUUCAAAGUUCAUAUCAUGCCCUUUUUGUGUUCAAUAAACAAAUUUUGAGUACUAGUAGAAUAUGUUUACAUGCUUUAAUGUUGAAAAUACGGGUCUCUCACCCUAUUCAUUUCUGCAAAACCGCUUUGAGCGUAAAGUCCAGUGCGCUCUGGCUGGCCCAUUAUGUUUUAUUGGUCAGACGGUCAGCGAGUGAGUUCUGGGCAGCUGUAAACAUGGUCAGUGUCUAUGGCUUUCGUCCUGCUGUUCCUGUUUGAACCCAAGUCGGAUAUAGAAUCACAAAUUAAGGCCACACAAUCAAUAUGACCCGACACAUCGUCGCAACCUGGAGUCGAGCCGGACGUUUCACCGUGGUUGUAAGACGAGUGGAGCAGCUUCCAGUCCCCCGAUAUGCAGGGUACACCAUCCAUCCUGGAGGACACCCGUACACCCUGAAUCCGCACACCUUGUAGAGCAUCUACAACAUCCUUGGAGCUGACUAUGAACCUUUGAGGCGUAAAGGAAGAUUACUUUUUUGUUACAUGUGUGAAACGUGAAAUGCACACGAUAAAUGUAACAAAAAUGC